rnacentral:rRNA from 1 species
UCGGGAAUUUUGGGCAAUGGGCGAAAGCCUGACCCAGCAACGCCGCGUGAGGGAUGAAGUAUUUCGGUAUGUAAACCUCGAAAGAAUGGGAAGAAUAAAUGACGGUACCAUUUAUAAGCUCCGGCUAACUACGUGCCAGCAGCCGCGGUAAUACGUAGGGAGCAAGCGUUGUUCGGAUUUACUGGGCGUAAAGGGCGCGUAGGCGGCGCGGUAAGUCACUUGUGAAAUCUCUGAGCUUAACUCAGAACGGCCAAGUGAUACUGCUGCGAUAGAGUGCGGAAGAGGCAACCGGAAUUCUUGGUGUAGCGGUGAAAUGCGUAGAUAUCAAGAGGAACACCUGAGGCGAAGGCGGGUUGCUGGGCCGACACUGACGCUGAUGCGCGAAAGCCAGGGGAGCAAACG